ensembl:lncRNA novel transcript, antisense to DMXL2
CACAUACUAACAAAAAAAAGAAUUCAACAAAAUGAGGAGAGAAACUAUCAUGGCACCAUCCUCAAGCAUGAACAAUUUCUAAGAGUCUGGAGAAAAGCAGGAGGGAAGGCAAACCACAAAGAAGAAACCUCAAAAUAGAAAAUGCCAUGAUCAUAUCAGAUUCCUUAUGGAUGACUUUCGCCUUUCCACCUGGAUAGCCCAGAUCAGCUUCAACCUAGAAAACAUUCAUCAGCAGUUUUAGUUGCUGCAGCACAGCUCUAUUUAGAGUUAUGCACAUCCCAUAAGAUUUAAAUGUAGGAUAAGAAGAAAAUGUAGCAGCAGCAGCAGCAGCAGCAGCAAGAAAAAAGGGGACUCCCCUAUGGCUGCUGCAGCUGAUAAAGAUGCAUCCAAGAAAACUUCCAAGGAAUGGUCAAUGUGUGGCACAGCUAACUCAGUGAAGGCCAAACUGCUGAAGAAUCUAUUUGUCUUAACUAGCUGAAUUCACCAAUCUGUUUCCCAAAAACUUGUUUUGUGAAAUAUUUUCCUGUAAUAUCUUCAGUGAAUAAAAGAUCUUAUUCUUA